AGUGAACGCUGGCGGUAGGCCUAACACAUGCAAGUCGAACGGCAGCACAGUAAGAGCUUGCUCUUACGGGUGGCGAGUGGCGGACGGGCGAGGAAUACAUCGGAAUCUACUUUUUCGUGGGGGAUAACGUAGGGAAACUUACGCUAAUACCGCAUACGACCUACGGGUGAAAGCAGGGGAUCUUCGGACCUUGCGCGAUUGAAUGAGCCGAUGUCGGAUUAGCUAGUUGGCGGGGUAAAGGCCCACCAAGGCGACGACCCGUAGCUGGUCUGAGAGGAUGAUCAGCCACACUGGAACUGAGACACGGUCCAGACUCCUACGGGAGGCAGCAGUGGGGAAUAUUGGACAAUGGGCGCAAGCCUGAUCCAGCCAUACCGCGUGGGUGAAGAAGGCCUUCGGGUUGUAAAGCCCUUUUGUUGGGAAAGAAAAGCAGCAGGUUAAUACCCCGCUGUUCUGACGGUACCCAAAGAAUAAGCACCGGCUAACUUCGUG
rnacentral:rRNA from 1 species